rnacentral:rRNA from 1 species
UACAGGGGGUGCAAACGUUGCUCGGAAUCAUUGGGCGUAAAGCGCACGUAGGCGGUUCGUUAUGUCGGAUGUGAAAGCCCUUGGCUUAACCGAGGAAGUGCAUCCGAAACUGGCGAGCUAGAGUACGAAAGAGGAUCGCGGAAUUCCCGGUGUAGAGGUGAAAUGCGCAGAUAUCAGGAGGAACACCGGUGGCGAAGGCGGGUCUCUGGGCCGAUACUGACACUGAGGAGCGAAAGCAUGGGUAGCGAACAGG